GUCGUGAACUGAUAUGUUAUUAAUUCAGUUAUAUGUAGGCUGAAGUUUGUCCCUUGCUCUAUAAAAGGAGAGGAUUUUCAAUAAUUUGACACAACACUAUCUUGUCUGGAUACUGUAAUCGUCAGGAUGAAGAACCUGUUCGCUGUUUUGUUGGUGGCAUUGGUGUUGGCUCUUUCCCAGGCCCACUUUUACAGGCCCAAGGGCGGCUAUGGCGGUUAUGGCGGUUAUGGCGGUUAUGGCGGAUAUGGCGGUGGCCAUAUUGAAUUUGAUGCACCUUACCCCCAAAAACCUUAUAGAUCGCGCUAUUAUGGCUACUAGGUACAAGAGUUUGUGAACCCAAACCUGGAACGUAUCACAGAGACAAAUGAACACUGAUUCGCAAUGAUCAGUUGAACAAUAAAUCUUUCCAACAUU
rnacentral:lncRNA from 1 species